UAGGUAAACCUCAUCCAAUUAUACCUUGUGCAAAGCGUCAAAUGUUAUAAAUAUAUAAAAACUUCUGUUAUCAAACAUGAGGAAAACGUUUGAAUAUGUGAACGAGACAAUAAACAUACUUCAGGCGAAUGCAUCAGAGUGGUUUUAAAUGUCUUAAUGCCUGCCUCUUUAGAAUACAGGUAAAUACAGGGUCCCAGCAAUAAUUUCGAAAUGUACGCCAUCGAGCAUAGGGCACGUGCAUUAGCAGAUAUAUAGGCUUGCUAGAUCGCCAGUAUACAUGCUUGAUGUGCAGAGAGACAGUAUUGUCGUAAAAAUCUAUGGUUUGUCCAGUAGGUGAUGAGUAUUAGGUGGCAUGUUCUGGAUAUUCGUCAUUUCAGGCGAAAUAUCUAUAUCAGUUAAGGAAAAUGACGACAACGCUUGGUAUAAAAUGAUCCACUUGAUGCCCAAAUUAAAUGCAUGAAUUUAUCUUAUGUUCCCACGCAAUAUUUAGCUUCUCAGUGCGUCUCAAUGCGUGGCUUUUUAUCAUAAAAUUAGAAACAGAUAUAUUUUGUAUUUGGAAAGGGUUGGGUAAUUUUGUUCUACUCUUUUGAACAUUAACAAAACCUAUUUCGCGAUGUUCAUUUCAUGAUGACAUGAUACUAAAUAGUAGAAACAAUGUUGUUGAUAAUUCAGCGUUUUAUUUAUAACAACCAUGAGGUGACAAUUAAACUAUUUACAAAUACAAAAUAAAGUUAUGUAGUUAAACUUUAGGAAAAAUAUGCUAUAAUAUACAAAAAUAGUUUCAGACCAUAUGUAUAAUUCAUUAGUAAUGUAUGCAAUUGCUAGCGGCUCAUUCAUUGAUUCAUCCGCUCAUUCAUUAAUGCAUUAAUUCAUUCAAAAUAACUAAUCAUCACUGUUAUAAAAUAAAAUAUUAAAUUAAUUGUACAGUAUAUUUAGUGGAAAGUAAAGUACAAACAUUUCUCUCCAUUUUAGAAAAAAAGCAAAACAAGACUGCAUGUUUCGAAAAGGAGAUACAUUUAUCAGUUAUAACUUUCCUCAGAACAGACGUAGGUCGUACGUAGAAGCAGCUGA